ACGAUGAAGAGUUUGAUCCUGGCUCAGGAUGAACGCUAGCGGCAGGCCUAACACAUGCAAGUCGAGGGGCAGCGGGGAUAAGCUUGCUUAUCCGCCGGCGACCGGCGCACGGGUGCGCAACGCGUAUAGAAUCUGCCCUGUACUGGGGAAUAGCCCAGAGAAAUUUGGAUUAAUGCCCCAUGGUAUGUAUUAGCGGCAUCGCUUGUACAUUAAAGGCUACGGUACAGGAUGACUAUGCGUCCCAUUAGUUAGUUGGUAAGGUAACGGCUUACCAAGGCAGCGAUGGGUAGGGGCCCUGAGAGGGGGAUCCCCCACACUGGUACUGAGACACGGACCAGACUCCUACGGGAGGCAGCAGUGAGGAAUAUUGGACAAUGGGCGGGAGCCUGAUCCAGCCAUGCCGCGUGCAGGAAGACGGUCCUAUGGAUUGUAAACUGCUUUUGUACGGGAAGAACAAGGGGCACGUGUGCCCCUCUGACGGUACCGUAAGAAUAAGGAUCGGCUAACUCCGUGCCAGCAGCCGCGGUAAUACGGAGGAUCCGAGCGUUAUCCGGAAUCAUUGGGUUUAAAGGGUCCGUAGGCGGGCCAUUAAGUCAGGGGUGAAAGUCUGCGGCUC
rnacentral:ncRNA from 1 species